UUGUUUCUACUUUCUAGGGUCUAUAGAAAGUUAUUUCAAUCGGUAUAUGAACUGAGGGAACAAAAUUGAACUAAUCAACAGGUUGUUAUUAUUAAUUCAUCAGGAUCGAUACGCUCUGCUGUUGAAUUCUGUAAAUUUUAUCUCACAUGAAAUGGCUUUUAUUGGGUUUCUGAACAUCUUCUUCAAUGGAAGAAGAGGAAAAGGUGGGUGCUAAUGAAACAUUGGAUUGCGUCAUUGGAGUUCAUUUAAUGCCUUCAUGUACAUGCUUAGACAGAUUACACCAUGCUAUAAAUUAAGACAAUGAAUAACAGAAAGAGGUGUAGUGUGGAUUGAUCAGCAUCCAUCUUGGUGUGGUUGAAGAGAUCGAUUUGAGAACAUUGUAGACGAUCAAUAGCAAAGAAGCUAGACAGUUUAUUGUAUUUGCUGAUAUGAAUUUUGGGAACACCUCCUCUGUUACCAUUUCUAAUUUCCCCGCUCUUCAUCGCAUCAACCUCACUUCAGAAGUUGGUCUUGCAAAAAGCAGGACAUCUCUGGUGUUGUGUUGCAAUUGUCUGCAAGAAGUGAACCUUACUGAUUGUGGAGCUCCCGGGGAACUUUAUUUGUGAACUUUUAAGCUGAGGGGGUGGUUGCUCGGUACUCAAGUCACUGGCUUUCGAUAACUGCAAGAUUCUACUGUUUAGUGGGUACCUACUCUGGUAGAUUAAGAGAACCAAAAUUUAAAGCUCAGCCAUCCCUUCAACGAUGGUGUCUUCAAUUGUUACACCCUAUACAAACCAGAAUUAUUAUUUUUUGCUGUAAGUUGGUCUUCGGUCGCUUAAUCUAGGCCUAUGCCCUAAAUUGGAGGCACUUGACAUUGACGCACGUUAGAUGGGGUUGCUAGAACUGAAGGAAUGUGGUGUUUUAUUCGAAGCAUCCAUUCGUUGUCCUCGUCUUAUGUCAUUAGAUUCCAUCUUGUGGGUAUUAAAAGUGCACGUUUGCAAGUAUUUAGAGGACUUAAAAGAAGGCGUUCUUCCAUCCCUCAGAGAAUUGGACCUCUCAUAUGGUAGUAUAUGCCAGUCUGCCAUAGAGGAGCUUCUUUCUUGCUGUACGCAUUUGACUCAUGUUAGCUGAACGGUGGCAGCAAUAUGCAUGACCUUAACUGGAGAUCUUCUUGAGUGUUGCCGCAUUUCUGAAGAAGCAGUUGAAGUUGCAGUUUCACACUGCAACAUGCUGCAAACUUUUGAUAUUCGCUUCUGUCCAAAGAUUCACUCAGUGCGCACGACAAAGUUCCGACCGGUAUGUCCAAGUCUCUGAAGCAUAUCUUUAGUAGUCUCAUCCCCACUCCAUGAAAUGAUUGCAGCACACCCCACCAAUUCUUACUUGCCAGAUCUCUUUCAUGGUCUCUGUGAAGUCGCAUUUCAUCGACCUUCACCUUCGUCCGCCUUGAAUUCAGUUUUACUGGUCCCGUUGUUUGAUGCAAUUGCAAUUUACAUAUAUGGUCCAUUUUCUGUUGUUUUUCCUAUCUGUUGUGCUUGAUAAAUCAGCUCCGCUCGAUUAGGACGACAAUAAAAUAAAGGGGAAUAUAUUUUUAACAUCAAGAUUGAUUUCAGAAUAAAUUUUUGAUAGCCAUACUGAUUCCAUUUGCUGGAUCGACCAUGUUUCUAGUAAAAAUCAUUG